rnacentral:lncRNA from 1 species
GAAACGACAUGAAGCCACAACCGGUAAUAAGAGAGUCGAACGGGGAUAAAAAUGGAAAUCGAAGAGGCUAUAUAAAUAACAAUCUUCACCGUUCAAUUAGGGUUAAGCUCAGACGGAACGAAUGAGGGUGAAGGGAGAUUGGAAUUUCUCAGGGUGGUUGCCUCUCCCUUUUACUCAAUGAUUUCAUCCUUUAUCUUCCAAAUCAACAACCCUUGUGUGUGUGUUUGUUUGUAUGUUACAUCCGAUACAUACGUAUAAAGAGAGAGAUGGAUAUAUAGCAUGAAUUCCAGUGGAUCUAUGAAUACCUUCGCCCGGAUCUGCAGCUUCUUCUUCUUCUCUUCUUGUUCUCUGGUUAUAUAUAUAUAUAUCCUGUUGGCGCUGCAGUUUCUUCUACUGUUGUUUAUAAUGGACCAUCGUAUUGCUAAUCUUAAGUGUAUGUCUGGCUAAGCUUAAAUUAUUUACUUGUAAGUAAAAAUAAGUAAGCUUUUAAGAGGCUGUGAUGAUAUUUGUCUUUGUUCCUCUGAGCUGAUGAAUCAGGCAGUGAGAUGAUCCGUAUCUUGGCGGGGCAACCCGGGUGGUAUCUGAGUCGGGUUUUGUCCUUCUUUCUCUUAUGCAGCCGGUGAUUUUGCAGCCAUGGCGUGAUCGGCCUCUUGCCCGACUCAAAAACAGAUCUGAGCCUCACUUUUUUUUUUUUUACUGACUUUGUUAAAUUGGG